rnacentral:tRNA from 1 species
GGGGCCGUAGUCUAGUAAGGUAUGACGACGGGCUCCAGACCCGUAGGACGGGCGUUCAAAUCGCCCCGGCCCCACCA